GACGGGUGAGUAACGCGUGGGAAUCUACCUAUCUCUAGGGAAUAACUCAGGGAAACUUGUGCUAAUACCCUAUACGUCCGUAAGGAGAAAGAUUUAUCGGAGAUAGAUGAGCCCGCGUUGGAUUAGCUAGUUGGUGGGGUAAAGGCCUACCAAGGCGACGAUCCAUAGCUGGUCUGAGAGGAUGAUCAGCCACACUGGGACUGAGACACGGCCCAGACUCCUACGGGAGGCAGCAGUGGGGAAUAUUGGACAAUGGGCGCAAGCCUGAUCCAGCCAUGCCGCGUGAGUGAUGAAGGCCCUAGGGUUGUAAAGCUCUUUCACCGGUGAAGAUAAUGACGGUAACCGGAGAAGAAGCCCCGGCUAACUUCGUGCCAGCAGCCGCGGUAAUACGAAGGGGGCUAGCGUUGUUCGGAUUUACUGGGCGUAAAGCGCACGUAGGCGGAUUGGUCAGUUAGGGGUGAAAUCCCAGGGCUUAACCCUGGAACUGCCUUUAAUACUGCCAGUCUUGAGUAUGGAAGAGGUGAGUGGAAUUGCGAGUGUAGAGGUGAAAUUCGUAGAUAUUCGCAGGAACACCAGUGGCGAAGGCGGCUCACUGGUCCAUUACUGACGCUGAGGUGCGAAA
rnacentral:rRNA from 1 species